AACGAACGCUGGCGGCAUGCCUAACACAUGCAAGUCGAACGAGACCUUCGGGUCUAGUGGCGCACGGGUGCGUAACGCGUGGGAACCUGCCCUUAGGUUCGGAAUAACUCCCCGAAAGGGGUGCUAAUACCGGAUAAUGUCUUCGGACCAAAGAUUUAUCGCCUUUGGAUGGGCCCGCGUUGGAUUAGCUAGUUGGUAGGGUAAAAGCCUACCAAGGCGACGAUCCAUAGCUGGUCUGAGAGGAUGAUCAGCCACACUGGGACUGAGACACGGCCCAGACUCCUACGGGAGGCAGCAGUGGGGAAUAUUGGACAAUGGGCGAAAGCCUGAUCCAGCAAUGCCGCGUGAGUGAUGAAGGCCUUAGAGUUGUAAAGCUCUUUUACCCGGGAUGAUAAUGACAGUACCGGGAGAAUAAGCCCCGGCUAACUCCGUG
rnacentral:rRNA from 1 species